rnacentral:lncRNA from 1 species
GACGUCUUCCCUCCGCCGCGGACGCGGAUCCUCAUGUCGAUGUCCUUGAACCGGGAGCGCCCAGCGAGCAAGAUGGGCUCGAAGGCCUUGAGGCGGAGCCCCUCCGGGCGGAUCAGCUCGAUGGGGGCGCCGUUCACCUUGAUCAGCCCGCGCCCCGGCUUGGUGUAGGCCACGGCCACGGCCGUCUUCUUGCGGCCGAAGCACUGGACCGUGCCCGCGGUGGGUCGGGUGAGCACGGUAGACAUGGUGGCGGUGGUGGCUGCUGGGAUCGCAGCGGCGGCGGUAGGGCUUUG